ensembl:lncRNA
GUCCUGACACUAAAAUGAAAAUAUUAAAGUCAUGAUGAGUCUUGGUGUGUUUGUGAGAGAAUAAAUAUGAAAAUAAAAUAAAGAAAACAUAAAUUAUGCAUAUAAAAUAAAUAGUAUAAAUGAAAUAUGCAUAUAAAUGAACAGAAUAAUAAAAUAUGACUAAAUGAAGAGUAUAAAAGAAUAUGUAUAUAAAAUACAUAAAACAGAGUAGUGUGCUUAUAAAGUAAGUAGAAUAACUGGAAUACAGUAUAAUUAAAUAAAUAAAGGGUGUAAAUGAGCAUUUAAAAUAAAUAGUAUAGUAUAAAUAAAUAUGCAUAUGAAAUAAGCUGCUAAAUAAAUAAAACAAAAAUAAAAUUAAUUUAAGUUAAUAUGCAUACAGAAUAAUUAAAAUACAGUGUAUAAAAAUAAAUUGUAUAUAGAAUAAAUACAUUAAUAAGUAUAAAUAAAUAUGCAUGUAAAUUAUAUAUUCGUCAUACUUCCAUAUUGUUGAGGAACGAGAAGAACAGGAGCACACGAACAACAAUAGUCUUUUAAUCCAAAAUAUCCAGGAAGUAACACUUGGCAGACGGUAACACAGGAAACACAGGGUUGACGUUCAAUCUCCAACAAACACAAACUGAAAGGACUGAGGCUUUUAAACAGGAUAAUGGGGAAGAACGAAACACACAUGGGAAUCAAAUUAACAAUUAGAGGAACAUAGGUGCAUGGAAUGACUAGUUAACAGGGUCACGGAACACAUGGGGAGCAAAACCAGAAGAAAAACAGUCCAGGGGCAUGACAUUACUGGAACUAAGGAGAAGGUUCUGGAGGACGACGGAUAUCAGGGAGGAGGACAACAGGUGGAGACCAGGGAGGAGACGAUGGAGGGAGGAGCCAGGGAGGAAACAAAUGGGGCUUGGAGCAGGAGGAUUCAGUUGGACCCAGGCCACAGCAAUAAUGUCGACCCACGGUGGAGCCGACGGAGGGAGGAGCCAUGGAGGAGGAAUGGCCGCUGACUCCAGGGGGCUGACCAAUGGUGGUGGACCAGAUGGUCGAGGAGCCCGAGGCGGAGACGGAGAGCCAAUGAGACAUGGGCGACGGGGAUGAUCCAGAGGUCCUAGGUGGAGAAGAUGGUGCCGGCGACAGACGCGAAGAUGUGGAUCCAGGAGACCGUGAUGGAACCUAAGUGACAGAUGACUGAGGUGGAGCCGAGGGGAUGAAGGAGCCUGACGGAGCCGAAGGGACAGAGGGACGAGUGAAGCCAGAGGAGUUGAGUCCCGAGACGCAGGAUGGUCGACGCCAGACCAAAGCGAUCCUCAGCUCUGUCGCUCUCUCUAGUCAUGGCUCGUCGGUCUUGGUGGGCUCUGGCUCUCUGUCAGCGGUGGGCUCGGGCAUGCACUCUGCACAUAGUGGAGAUGGUGGGCUUGGCUCUGGGUCAGGAGUGGCACUGGCAAUUAAAUCCUGCAGACUGGUGGGGAAUGGAGAUCCAUUUCUCGCCAGCGUCCACUCCACAAAGACGGUGAAUUCCACUCGAGGGCCAUCUUCGGACAAUGGCGCUUUGCACGCAGUAUUGAGGCUAGCGUCAUAGAACGCACAAAGUGUGUCGUCCGGAUAGUUGGUGAAAUGGGCCACAGCCAGUAACAGUCUGGUAUGACCCUCGAGCGAUUUCUCCCCCUGCUUUAGCAGAAGGAGGAUGAACUCAGGGUGAAGGAGGGGGUCCAUAGGACACAACAGAAAGACAAACACUGGGAGAAAAACGGAAACAAAACGGAGGGGAAACACGCAAUAAACUGUUUCAGUCUGAGAUUCUGUCAAACUUCCCCAACAAUAGUCUUUUAAUCCAAAAUAUCCAGGAAGUAACACUUGGCAGGUGGGAACACAGGAAACACAGGGGUUGACGUUCAAUCUGCAACAAACACAAACUGAAAGGACUGAGGCUUUUAAACAGGAUAAUGGGGAAGAACGAAAUACACAGGGGAAUCUAAUUAACAAUAAGAGGAACAUAGAUGUGGAAAAUGCCUCGACGGGCCCUCAGGAGAAGAAGGAGCAAGAGCAAGAGCUUCAUUAUGGAGAAGUGAUGUUCACCAACAAAAUUGUUCAACAGCAGCCGUAUAAAACACAGGAGGAGUGUUUGUACGCUCAGGUGUAGCCGCGUUAGUGUGAAAACUACCACAAGACCACCUGCAGUCAAUGCAUAGUGUGACUUCACACUUCACUGACAUGAAGACACAACAGGACAGCUUUUAGCUGCUUGUGAUGAAAUGCUCGGCUUAGUGCACAUUUUCUUUCCUGUGUGGCAACAGAAAAAUACAGCGUCUGAUCCAGAACAGAAAUAUAAAAAGAUGAACUCUGAUUGACUUUCCAAUAAAGCCACUGAAGGGAAUCACGACUGCUGUGAACAAUUAAUUACUUUUUUACAUAUAUAAAAUGUCAUUCUAUGACAUACUUUGUUUGUAUUCUGUUUCCUUGUGCUGCCUUCCAUCCCAGAUAGCACACGUACGUCUGCAAGAUGUCUGUUAAAGAUUGCUUGAUCUGGAAAGCAUCUACUGUGUACAAACGUCUGACAGAUGUCUUUCAGAUGUCCGUUUUACAUACAUUCUAAAUCAUAAACAUCUUAAAGACAUCUAAUAUACGUCUGUCUGUUUGACAUCUGAUAGGAAACGUCCAAUACACGUAUUGCAGAUGAGCAAACAUUCUAAAGGCCCCGGUAUACUUCAAACGAAGUUCGUUUUCGUUCUUCGUUUGGGGGCAAAAAGAAGUUUGAAAAGGCUGAGCGACGGUAUACUGUUUUCGAACAUUCCGACACCCCCGCGCUGCUGGAGGCGGGUGUAGAUUAAUGUAAACAUGUGUCGCAAUGCUCAAGCCUAUCCCCUAAACACAACAACGAUGUGUAGGCAAUCUAGGUGUGAGAUGGGCACCAAUGGUCAGAAUAUUAUAGACAAAAGAAUAAUGAUUAGCAGCAGUUCAGAGUCAAGUAUCAUGUUUGCAAUGCAAAAGAACCAUAAUCAGUCCUUUAUGGAAAGUGUGAACGUCUCAUAAUCUGUAAAACUUUAGCAUGAUGUGGAAAAACAUUAUUGGAGUCAGUUUGUUACUGUAUUUUAUUAUUUAUUGUUACACCUUUUUAUAUUUUAUGUGGUGUCAUGAUUUACUUUUGAUAAAAACAAAGGUUUAUUAUUAUAUGUUCGUUUGGUGUUUCAUUUAUUGUAUACCCUUUAAAUUUGCUUAUUGAAAGAACAACAGCAGCAGUAUGGUGUAAUAUUUAUUUGAAACAUGUAUUUGGUACUUGCUACCUUAUAUAUUUACUUUAUCCUUUCAUUUUUUUAUUGUUUUUUGAAAACUUGUCUCGGAUGUUUCUUUGCGUCACUUUUUGCAUAACUCCGGGU